rnacentral:rRNA from 1 species
GUUACGAUUUGAUGCAAGGUUAAGCAGUAAAUGUGGAGCCGUAGCGAAAGCGAGUCUGAAUAGGGCGUUUAGUAUUUGGUCGUAGACCCGAAACCAGGUGAUCUACCCUUGGUCAGGUUGAAGUUCAGGUAACACUGAAUGGAGGACCGAACCGACUUACGUUGAAAAGUGAGCGGAUGAACUGAGGGUAGCGGAGAAAUUCCAAUCGAACCUGGAGAUAGCUGGUUCUCUCCGAAAUAGCUUUAGGGCUAGCCUCAAGUGAUGAUUAGUGGAGGUAGAAAAGUGAGGGGAUGAACUGAGGGUAGCGAAGAAGUUACUAUCGGACCGGGAGAAAGCUGG